GACGAACGCUGGCGGCGUGCUUAACACAUGCAAGUCGAACGGAAAGGCCCUGCUUUUGUGGGGUGCUCGAGUGGCGAACGGGUGAGUAACACGUGAGUAACCUGCCCUUGACUUUGGGAUAACUUCAGGAAACUGGGGCUAAUACCGGAUAGGAGCUCCUGCUGCAUGGUGGGGGUGGGAAAGUUUCGGCGGUUGGGGAUGGACUCGCGGCUUAUCAGCUUGUUGGUGGGGUGGUGGCUUACCAAGGCUUUGACGGGUAGCCGGCCUGAGAGGGUGACCGGCCACAUUGGGACUGAGAUACGGCCCAGACUCCUACGGGAGGCAGCAGUGGGGAAUAUUGCACAAUGGGCGGAAGCCUGAUGCAGCAACGCCGCGUGCGGGAUGACGGCCUUCGGGUUGUAAACCGCUUUCGCCUGUGACGAAGCGUGAGUGACGGUAAUGGGUAAAGAAGCACCGGCUAACUACGUG
rnacentral:rRNA from 1 species